GGCCUGUUAGCUCAGCUGGUUAGAGCGUGGUACAAAUAACGCCAAGGUCGUGGGUUCGAUCCCCACAUGGGCCA
rnacentral:tRNA from 1 species